UAUUGCAAAAUGGGGGAAACCCUGAUGCAGCGACGCCGCGUGAGGGAAGACGGUUUUCGGAUUGUAAACCCCUGUCUUUGGGGACGAAUUGGGACGGUACGCAAGGAGGAAGCUCCGGCUAACUACGUGCCAGCAGCCGCGGUAAUACGUAGGGAGUAAGCGUUGUCCGGAAUUACUGGGUGUAAAGGGAGCGUAGGCGGGAUAGUAAGUUGAUUGUUAAAACUAUCGGCUCAACUGAUAGAUGCGAUCAAAACUGCAAUUCUUGAGUGAAGUAGAGGCAGGCGGAAUUCCUAGUGUAGCGGUGAAAUGCGUAGAUAUUAGGAGGAACACCAGUGGCGAAGGCGGCCUGCUGGGCUUUAACUGACGCUGAGGCUCGAAAGUGUGGGUAGCAAACAGG
rnacentral:rRNA from 1 species